rnacentral:rRNA from 1 species
AGAGGGUGCAAGCGUUAAUCGGAGUUACUGGGCGUAAAGGGCGCGUAGGCGGUUUAUUGGGUGUGAUGUGAAAGCCUUGGGCUUAACCUGAGAAGUGCAUCGCAAACUAAUAGACUGGAGUAUAUGAGAGGGUGGCGGAAUUUCCGGUGUAGCGGUGAAAUGCGUAGAGAUCGGAAGGAACGUCAAUGGCGAAGGCAGCCACCUGGCAUAAUACUGACGCUGAGGCGCGAGAGCGUGGGGAGCGAACAGGAUUAGAUACCCUGGUAGUCCACGCUGUAAACGAUGAGGACUAGAUGUUGCUGGGGGAACCUAGCAGUAUCGAAGCUAACGCGAUAAGUCUUCCGCCUGGGAAGUACGGCCGCAAGGUUG